ACUGACAUUAGAUACCCCCGUAGUCCAGGGUGUAAACGCUGCAGACUUGGUGUUGGAAGCCCUUUGGGGGCAUUCAGUGCCGGAGAGAAGUUGUUAAGUCUGCUACUUGGGGAGUACGUCCGCAAGGAUGAAACUUAAAGGAAUUGGCGGGGAGCACCGCAACGGGAGGAGCGUGCGGUUUAAUUGGAUUCAACACCGUAAACUCACCAGGGAAGACUGUUACAUGAAGGCCGAGAUGAAGACUCUGCUAGAUUUUUCAG
rnacentral:rRNA from 1 species